UCUGGCACAAAGUUUGCAAGUAUCCUACCCGCUCACCACGCUAACAAAAUUCGCUCACUACGCUAACCAAAUUGGUUCCUUCCCUUAUAAAUAUUGCCCUUUCUCACUCUUUGCAGAUGUUGUGAGAACUGAGAAUCGCAAUGGCUACGCUGAUGCAGAGUGUCAACAGAGGUCACCGUUUGUUCAGCGUCGGAGCUACAGAGAGUGAAGGCCCAACUUCGCAGCGUGAAGCAACAGCUUCAGUCAUGUCAGCGGAAACUCACAAAAGCGGAGGCGCACGCGAAUAGAAAGAAUGGAGUGUAUGCAGAUAUUCACAAGCUUUCAGACCGCGAGAAGCUCAUUAUAGACCAGUGCAUCAUGAAAGCAAAUAUGAAGUCUGCGAAAGCAGCACGGUAUAAAAAGGAAUGGCUUUACGAUUGUUUACUGCUGAAAAUCAAAUCCACAGCAGUUUAUACAUUUCUUCACGAGAAUAAUUUUCUGCCUCUACCACACCCUCGCACACUCUACUCCUAUCUGAAAAAUCUGAAGGCCGGCUUCGGAUUUGAUGAAAAUUUAUUGACAUCCUCAAAGACAAAGUGGAAAAGAUUCCAAAGAGAGAACGGCGAGGUGUCCUCAUGUUUGAUGAGAUGAGCGUGAGAAAGAGCCUUCACGUCAGGGAAUCGGAUAUGGCACUGCUUGGAAAGGUGGACUUAGCAGAGCACACGAAGCCGACUGACCAAGUGAAAGAUGGGGACCACGUGUUGGUGUUCCUUUUCCGACCAUUCCUUGGUGGCUGGUCGCAGACUGUCGGAGCGUUUUGCACGUCCGGGGCUGCACCAGGAUCCACUGUUGCCAAACUGAUCCUGCAGUGCAUUGUACUCCUAUCGAAUGCCGGCGUCAUUGUGGAGGCAGUCACUUGCGAUAACUCAACUUCGAACCGAUCAGCACUGAACUCCUUGGGUGUCAGUGGUGAUGUCACAAGAGUAUCAACAUCGUUUGAGCAUCCAUGUGACUCCUCCAAAGUCAUUCAGGCUAUAAUUGACCCGCCGCACAUCUUCAAGUGCAUCAGGAAUAACCUUUGAAGGCCGGAAAGUUCCUGUUGCCUGGUGACAAAGAAGUACAGCAUUCCCACUUUGAAGCUCUGCUGGACUACGAGGAGCAGCAAGCUGGACUUCGGGCUGUGCCAAAGCUUACGAAAGCUCACAUCAGCCCCAACGCUUUCCAAAAACUGAGUGUGAGACUUGCUGUCCAGCUCUUCAGUGAAAGCACUGCUUCAGCAAUGGACUUCUAUCGCAGUAGAGAAGAAUGUGUGAAACUUCGUGGCUCCAAAGCAACUUCGGAUUUUGCGAGGCGAAUGAAUAGUCUAUUCGACUGCUUCAAUUCUAAAAGGCCACAAGAUGUGCAGUACAAUGAAGCGGAACACAUUUCUACGCUGAAGGAGAACAUCGAAUGGCUUGACAGGUGGCACACUUACAACCAGAGUUUACCAAAGCAAAAGCAACUCUUCUUUCUCAGCAAGCCAACAUGCAAUGCUUUGAGAAUGACUUUGCACAGCACAGUGACGCUUGUUGAAAAGCUGCUGAAUUGUGGCUUUCGCUAUGUUUUAGUUGGCAACUUUGGACAAGACCACCUCGAGGUACAUUUAAACGUUUUUGCUCGUUGAAGACGUUUUCUUCACACUUUUAUAUUUUUCAGAG
rnacentral:lncRNA from 1 species